AAAAUGCACCCGCACGAAAAACUCCAAACCUGUCGAGUGGAACAAAGCUACAGAACAACAGAAGAGACAGUGGUUGCUUUUCAUUUUUAACGACAACGUGCCAGCUGCGGUUCCCAGCAAACUGCACCCGAGCCACAGGCAGAUGAACUCCACAACAGUGAGGAUGACAGAGGUUCUGCUUGCUCAGAUGGCGAUCCAUCAGCCAGGACUGUUUCCUGUCCAUUGUUACCCGGAGAACCUGGACAAUGGCUCCACGAAAUCGGGGGAUGUGC